UCUAGCCCGUUGUACUGUGUAUUCUAGUCAGUUCGUGUGUGUAUGUGUUGCCCUCGCAAUGUAUGAGAGGCCGCCCGUGAGGAAGUCGCCGAUCUGGUUGAGGCAUGCUGCUAUUCUUUAUAUCCGGUAGCACAAACAUUUAAAAGUUCGAACACCAAACCCUGGUACUAGGUGGUGGCAUUGCUUCACUUCUCUUGUUACGUUCUCUUCGCCCAAAUUCGGAGGAUCAAGAAAAUAAAAUAUCGUUCUUUUGACAUGCACUACUCAAAAGAAGGCAUUUCUGUUGAAAAAUUGUUUCGCUUGACAUGUACUUGCCAACAAUUAGGUAUAAUAAAUCAUGGCAUUGUAUGUAGAAAAAGAUAUAUUGUGUGUUCUGCUGUUGUAUUGAGUUGCUAUCUAUUGCUAAUUGUAUGAUAUUGCUAUU